GUGUCAGCAGCCGCGGUAAUACGUAGGGUCCGAGCGUUGUCCGGAGUUACUGGGCGUAAAGCGCGCGCAGGCGGUCCCGCGCGCCCGGCGUGAAAGCCCCCGGCUCAACCGGGGAGGGUCGUCGGGGACGGCGGGACUUGAGGGCGGUAGGGGCCGGUGGAAUCCCUGGUGUAGUGGUGAAAUGCGUAGAGAUCAGGGGGAACACCCGUGGCGAAGGCGGCCGGCUGGGCCGACCCUGACGCUGAGGCGCGAAGGCGUGGGGAGCGAACGGGAUUAGAUACCCCAGUAGUCC
rnacentral:rRNA from 1 species